UACUGUUUUGAAACAAGUGAGAUCAUGUGAAAUCCUCGGAGCUCGGAGCUUUGAAUUUUCCAAAUAUUCAUAUUUAAAUUAUUUGUUUCAAACAGUA
ensembl:miRNA mir-1021 ncRNA